rnacentral:rRNA from 1 species
UGCCUCAGUAACGGCGAGUGAAGCGGCAACAGCUCAAAUUUGAAAUCUGGCCGCAAGGUCCGAGUUGUAAUUUGCAGAGGAUGCUUUUGGCGAGGUGCCUUCCGAGUUCCCUGGAACGGGACGCCAUAGAGGGUGAGAGCCCCGUACGGUAGGACCACCGAGCCUUUGUAAAGCUCCUUCGACGAGUCGAGUAGUUUGGGAAUGCUGCUCUAAAUGGGAGGUGUACGUCUUCUAAAGCUAAAUACCGGCCAGAGACCGAUAGCGCACAAGUAGAGUGAUCGAAAGAUGAAAAGCACUUUGAAAAGAGGGUUAAAAAGUACGUGAAAUUGUUGAAAGGGAAGCAUUCAUGACCAGACUUGGGCUUGGUUGAACAUCCGGCGUUCUCGCCGGUGCACUCUGCCAGUCCAGGCCAGCAUCAGUUUGCCCCGGGGGACAAAGGCGGUGGGAAUGUGGCUCUCUCCGGGGAGUGUUAUAGCCCGCCGUGUAAUGCCCUGGGGCGGACUGAGGAACGCGCUUCGGCUCGGAUGCUGGCGUAAUGGUCAUCAAUGACCCGUCUUGAAACACGGACCAAGGAGUCGUCUUCGUAUGCGAGUGUUCGGGUGUCAAACCCCUACGCGAAAUGAAAGUGAACGUA